rnacentral:lncRNA from 1 species
GGGGAAAUUUCUUCAGGUUAACUUUUGGCUGAUUGUUUAUGUUUCUUGCAUCCAUGCAACCUCCUGUCAACUUAUUCGGAUGGGAAGCAGUGGACAACUUGCCUGGUGCAUCCCCCACGUUCCAGAAGAAUGGGUUGAAGGCGAUAGAGAGGACGGCUGCAAUGAAGCCAGAAUCAGUCACAUCCACAUAGCUGAAGACCCGCGCCAUGGCUGUCACAUCCACCUCGCUGUAAUCCAGGCCGCCCAGCCCGCUGCAGCAAUCCCGCGGCCACCACCAAAACCCCGCUCCCCGCCGGCCUCCUGCCUGCCCCCGCUCGCCUCCCGGCCUGGGCCUCCCCGCCAUGGCACGGGGCCGGGGCCGGGGCACCCCGCGGCCUUCCCCCGGCCGGCUGCCAGCG